rnacentral:pre_miRNA from 1 species
CAACGGAAUCCCAAAAGCAGCUGUUGUGAAAAUGUUCAGCUGCAGUUGGGACCCGUUCAC